CAGCAGAAGCAAAUGCGACUAGUAUCCAUGUGGAUGCAGGUUUGACCCCUGGCCUUGCUCAGUGGGUUAAGUAUCCAGUAUUGCUGUGAGAUGUGGUGCACGUCGCAGACACAGCUUGGAUCCCAUGUUGCUGUGGCUGUGGUGUAGACCGGCAGCUGUAGCUCUGAUUUGACCCCUAGCCUGGGAACCUCCAUAUGCCAUGGGUGCAGCCCUAAACAGACAAAAAAAAAAAAAGAAAGAAAAGGAAGGAAGGAAGGAAGGAAGGAAGACAAACAUAAACAUAUUCUCUCACAGUCUGGAAGUUCCAAGUCCAAAAUCAAGGUGUCUUCAAGGCAUACUUCCUCUCAAGCCCCCAGGGGAGGGUAAUUGCUGGCCUCUUCCAGCUUCUGGUGACCCUUGGCUGUGACAGCACAACUCCAAUGGGCAUCUUCCUCCUGUGUGUUUUCUUUUCUUUUUUCUUUUUUUGUCUUUUUGUCUUUUUAGGGACUCACCGCGGCACAUAGAGGUUCCCAGGCUAGGGGUCUAAUCGGAGCUAUAGCUGCUGGCCUACACCACAGCCACAGCAAUGCCAGAUCCUUAACCCACUGAGCGAGGAUCAAACCUGCAACUUCAGAACCUGCAUGUCUGUGUCUAAAUUUCACCCUUCUCCUAAGGACACUAGUCUUACUGGGUUAGGUGCCCAUCCAGGAUGACAUAAUGUGUUAUUUUAACAUAACUAACUACAUUUGCAGUGACUCCAUUUCCAAUUAAUGUCACAGUCUAAGGUUUAGGGGUUAGGACUUCAACAUAGCUUUUUUUCGGAGGUACAUUUCAACCCAUAAGAGAUGGCAUUCCCAGUUGGGAAAUGUGAAGUCUUCCCCAGUGGAAGCCUCCCCCAGUGGAAGCCUCUUCCAGUUUGAAUUUUACUUUGAUUUGAUUUGAGAUGCUUAGUUUCCCCCAUCCUGGGUUUUUAACCCAUACGGCAAAAAGGGAACACAGCGAAAUAAAAAGAACACAGAAUGCAAAAGAUAAGUUGCCUUAAAUAUGACAGCUAUAAAUAUAAUUUAUGAAAUCUGUCUGAAUGGAACACACAGACUCCAAUUUUCUCUGCAUUAUCUUAGUAGUUACUCUUUUACUAUUCUUUUAAUGAUUACCCCAGAGGUUACAACAUGAUUCUUUGAUUUAUCAAAGUUCAAUAUAAAUUGUUACUUUUACUUCUUCCCAGACAAUGCCUGGAUCUUAGAGCUUAACUCCAUUUACUCUCUGCCCAAAUGCUUUUGCUUUUGUGGAUUUAAAUUUGAUUUGUAUAUUUUUAAACCCUAUAAGACAUUAGGAUUGUUAUUUUAUGUAGUUACUAUUCUUUGCGAUGCACCCAUAGAUUUACCCUUUUCUUUGUUCUUUCUUCUUCCAUCUGGAACAAUUUUCCUUCUGCCAUAAACAUUAGUAUUUCCUUUUGUCUGCAUCUGCUGUUUAUUAAUAAUUUUUCUCAGUCCUCUGUGUGUGUGUGUUUGCUAUGAAUGCCUUUCCUCUUUGUCUACUAGAGUGGAAUCUUGUGGAGUCCCAAACCAAAGCAAAGGAGGCUUACGGGGCGGGGUGGGGUGGGGGUCCCCAGUUUGAUGGCACCUGAACUUUUGGCUACUUACCCUUGUGAGACUGGCAAGUGCCCUGCUCAGCCUCUCGGCUUCUCAGCUGCUGCUUCUGAAAUUGGCAGGUGCCACUAGAGGAGAAGUAGCUGGGCUCACCUCUCCAGGGUUCUUCCUUCUUCCAGGAUGUAAUUCGAGCUGCAUCUGUGGCCUGUGCCACAGUUGUGGCAAUGCUGUGUCCUUAACCCACUGUGCCAGGAGAGGGAUCGAACCAGCAAUGCCACACAGACAAGCUGGAUCGUUAACCCACUGCACCACAGUGGGAACUCCCCUCCUUCUUCCAGAUCUUGGCCCUGUAAGUUCUGUUAGCUUUCAGAUGCUCUCAAGCAGAUUUAUUUCACAUUUUGCCCAGCUUUCCCAGCUGUUCUCAGUGUGAGACUUUGCCUGUAUCACACAGUCUAAUGGUUCAAGAAUCUGAACAUCCAUUUCCCAUCUAUUUGUCAGGAAGUUUCCUGGAAGCUGUCACAUAACACUUGGUGAGAGCUGAGUCUUGUGACCGCAUCUAGUUUUAUUCAGAAGGACUGUACUCUUAGCUGAAAACUGCAGAUGCUAUGGAUCUUUGGGAGAACGGAUUCUAAGGGCUACAGCACUAGUCUCUCUGUUAUUGGCUGUGUAGUCUAAAGCGAGUUGUUUAAACUCCAAAUUUCAUGUUAUGCAUCUGUAUAAUGGAGGUAAUGAGAAUAGCAUAUAUAGUGUCAAAGGAGAUACUCUCAAUGAACAUUUAUUGAACAAAGACUCGUUAUCUGCUGGGUACUGAGUCGAGUGGUUUAUUUACACAAACUCUUGUGGUUCUUCUAACAACUUUAUGAGGUACGAACUCAUUUUGAUGAGAAAAUUGAGGCACAAAGAGGUUCCACUAUGCAAAUAUUUGACUGAUGCAUGGCAGUUUGAACCCCAGACCUUCUUCACAACAUGGUCGUGCCUUGUAAACCCCAAAGCCUUACCUGUUGGAUUGCUGAGAGAAGAUGAGAGGCCCAGGUUAGGAAUGAUGCUGAGUGGCUGAGGGCUGGACAUGCUUAGCUAGAAAAACAUGAUUCUCUAAGGGAAGAUCAGGGGACCAAACUGACCUAGUUUGAGUGAAGUGGGCCUUUGGUCAUUUGUUUCACUUACCCAAGAGUUGCAUGAUCAAAACAGCUCAUAAGUUAAAUGUGGGAGUUGGAGGAGACCACAGAGGUAAAAGGGACCCUACAGAGCAUGCAGUUCCAUAGCUUCAUUUUUUAAAAUGUUUAAAAUUUUUAAUAUUUAAUAUUUAAAUGUCAAUAUUUAAAAGUUUCCCAAAAUAUUAAGCAAACGUUCCAUGAAUUUUCUCUUAGGGCUGCACCCACAGCAUAUGGAAGUUCCUAGGCUAGGGUUUGAACUGAGGCUGUAGCUGCUGGCCUACGCUACAACCACAGCCAUGCCAGGUCUGAGCUGUGACCACAGCUCACGGCAAUGCUGGAUCCUUAACCUACUGAGCGAGGCCAGGGAUCGAACACAUAUCCUCAUGGUUACUAUUCAGGUUCAUUACCUCUGAGCCAUGAUGGGUACACCCAUGUAACCUGUACCCAAAUCAAGAAAUGGAACAUGACCAGCUCUAGUAGCUUCUCUCACACCUCCCCCUACACCUUGCCACCUCCCUGUUCUAGUUAUGGCCCCUCCCAAGGCUAAGUAUACUGACCUCUAACAUCGGAGACUAGUCUGGCUUAUUUUUGAAAUAUAUGUGAAUAGAAUGAUAUAGUAUAGACUCUUUUGUAUGAAUUUUUUCACUCAACAUUAUCUUGUGAGAGAGAUUCCUAUUGCUGCUUAUAAAUUGUUUGUUCUCAUCGCUGUAUAAUAUUCCAUUGUGUGACUAUCACAAUUUACCUAUCGAUUCAAGUAUUAAUAAUCAUUUGAAUGGUGCUGCUACGAAUCUUCUGGAACAUGUCUGAGUGCCCAGAUGUACUCAUUUUGUUGGGUAUAGCCUCAAUUGAACUUGUUGAUCACAAGGUUAGUUCAGUUACUAGGAACUACCUUGGUGUCCCUUUAUUGAUGAUGGAAAAUAAAGUACAGAAAGGGCAGAUAUUUGUCUAAGGUCACCCAGCCACUGAGCCGUGACUGGAAUCUGGGUUAGUCUCUCCCAGGGCAGUUUGCUUAGGUCUGGGUUUCAAAGAGAGACUAGCCUAGAGAUUCAGCAGUAUCUUAGAGCAACACCCAUGUGACUUAUGAGCUGUCCUUAUCGUCUAAACCCCUGGGUAAAAUGAAACCAAUGACCAAGCAUGAGAGGGGCACCUGGUCAGUGGGGCCAUGAUUGUAAAUUCCAAUUUAGAUUGGCAGGAGCUAGUGGAUCUUCUUUGCUUCUCAACAAUGUAUUACAUUAAGCUAGAUUUAGAUUCAGUCUACUACUAUGCCAGGCCUGAUACAAAGUGCUUUCCUAGGAGUUCCCAUUGUGGCUCAGCAGGAACGAAUCCGACUAGCAACCAUGAGGUUGCGGGUUUGAGCCCUGGCCUCGCUAAGUGGGUUAAGGAUCCGGCGUUGCCAUGAGCUGUGGUAUAGGUCGCAGACAAGGCUCAGAGCCCUUGUUGCUGUGGCUGUGGUGUAGGCCAGCAGGUACAGCUCGGAUUAGACCUGGGAACCUCCAUAUGCCGCAGUGCAGCCCUAAAGAG
rnacentral:lncRNA from 1 species